GCCACUCCUGCCCUGCUCCACCCACUGCACCUGCCUCCGGAGAGCCUCUUCCCACACUCCACACCAAUUCCACCUUGCCUAGGCAGCGCCAAAGCACCUUCUCUGAAAGCUGUUAAGUGAAGGCUGUGACUUCAGCCCCUUAGAUUCAGGGCUGACUCUGGAGACAGUUCUGUCUGAAAUGAUAGGAAGUGCCCCAUGAGGCCCCAAGCCCGGCUCUGCCUGACUGUGCCUGGCAUUGACCACGCCAGGGAAAUGGGAAAAGGCUCCGGAGAAGGAUGGUGAUGCCCUUGAGGAGGAAAGGCACAGGGCAGCCCAGGAAGAAAGGAAACUCACCGGGGAAAUGAAGACUCAGUUGAUCUUCCUGUGCUGAGACCCUCUAGCAGAAUCACAACAGAGAGACACGUGACCUCUGGACACUAUGCUGAGCCCCGAGCAUGGGUGAGAGGCGCUGGCUGGGAAGGGCCUAUUGCCUGGAACACUUCAUUACUUGAAACACAGAGCAAGAAGCAGAAGUUACAAAUCAGGUGUUCUCUUUAAGAAGCUGUAUGGAGAGUUUGUCCUUACACUUGAAUAGUUGCUUCAUUACCUCCCUUAUCUCAGAAGGACAUGCACAGUAAGGUUAUGAAGAACUGGCUUCCAAAUAAUAUUAAGAGCAAGUCACCUAGACUGGAACCAGCAGGUCCAUAUGGCAGACCAGGGACAGCGGGAAGAACACCUAAGUGGAACCCUGAAGCUACUUCCCACUCUGUGACUUUAGGGUCCAUAGAAUUAUGGACCUGGAUACUGGAUGGCAGAUGUGAAAUCCCUUCUUCUUAUUCAAUGCUUAUGCAAAUAUGUGCUAUUGUCAUUGCAAACAUGGUAUGUGCCCUGGAGGGGAACAAUGACUCCAUUAAAUUUUCUGGCCCUGGAAUUCCGUAAAGGAAGUAGUCCAUGGCCCUAGCCCAGGUUUUUCAGCCUCCACACUAUUGCCCAGUAGGCCCUGGAGAUGCCCUGUGUGGGGCCCUGUGCCCAGAGCGGCAUCCCUGGGCUCCACCCUGCAGGUGCCCUGGAUAUCAGCAGAAACUCCCACCAAGUCCUGACAAUAGAAAGUGUCUCCAGACAUGCCCAAGUGUCCCUCGGGGGCAAAACCACCAGUUUGGGAGACCCUGCCUAGGAAAGGUUUUUGUCUUGCUUUUUGUAGAGAGGCCACACAGUGAGAGGCUUCUCAGAAAGAAGGCGCAGUUCCCAGUGCUCAUUAACCUACAGAUUCAAUGACCAAUUCACUGCAGAGGGCAUCCAAAGGUUCUCGAACACAGAAGUUAGGAAAUGACCAUGAGAUAACAAACGGGGCUCUAUUUUGUAAAGGGGGUGCAGCCCGAUUUGGGAUUGCUAAUAAAAGACAAGUAAGUCUUUCAACUCGAUU
rnacentral:lncRNA from 1 species